UUAGGUUAUUUUUCUUGAACAAAGUGUCCUAUAGUUUGUGUAUUAUUAUAUAGCCCUAAGUUAUGGUUUUCAAAGAAGAAAAAAACAAUGUUUCAUCCAAUGAACAAAACCAUGAUGAUCAAUGUUGUCCAAACAAUUAUUUUUUUCAUCUCAUAUUUGAUAAGUAUUUUAUUGUUACUAUAAUAUUUCUCCCAAUUUUAUUGCUUUUGUCUUUUAUUUUGUUUGGUCUUAUGGAAAAACAUUUCCCAAAUUUACUAUUGAAGCAAUCACAUCUUCUAAUAUUUUUUCACCAUGGCCUUAUUCAUCUCUACAUGCUCAGAACUUGACUAUCGAUUUCGUGGUCGAAAAUCAUGCAUCUCGUGAAGGUGAGUACGAAAACAUGGUGGUUUAUAUUUCCUACGAGGGGAAUAUCAUUUGGUUUAAUAUGUUAGGCAUUUAUCGUCAGCAAAAAGAUGAGUGUUCGUCGAUACAGGUGACUUUUGGUGAUUUUCUAGUGAAGAUAAUGGAUGACUACGUUGCUUAUAGAAUAAGUAAAGAAAAUAGGACAAAUGGAUUUGUGGUUUUUAGAGUGGAGUUAAAGGAGGUAAAGGAUAGUAGAUAUGAGGCUCAAGUUUUCAUCAGUUAAACAAGAGACAAGAUUGUUGCAAAAAUGUUCCACCGUACGGUUUUGAUUGUUACUUAAAUUUUAUUGUAUCGUCUGAAUCUUAAUUUCCUUAUGUAAGGAGGAAAAGUUUUUUUAUGUAAGGACUGAUUUGGUGUUAGUUGGCUAUGUAUGUUGGUCGAGCCGAGGGUCUGUCCGAAAUAGCCCUUAUUUCACAAUAGCCCUUAUUUCACCUUCCUUGCUUUUUAUUUUGAGAUUAGCAUCCAGUACCCCCGAACUAUGACCAAAGGUACUACGACACACUCUAACUUCAAAGGAGUUCUAUUACCCCGUGAACUCAAUUUUAGGGUAUUUUUG
rnacentral:lncRNA from 1 species